UACAGAGGGUGCGAGCGUUGUUCGGAAUUACUGGGCGUAAAGCGCGCGUAGGUGGUCUUUUAAGUCCGACUGUAAAAUCCCGGGGCUCAACCCCGUGGGCUGCAGGGGAUACUGGGAGACUGGAGACACGUAGAGGCAAGCGGAAUUCCGGGUGUAGCGGUGGAAUGCGUAGAGAUCCGGAAGAACACCGGAGGCGAAGGCGGCUUGCUGGGCGUGAUCUGACGCUGAGGCGCGAAAGCGUGGGGAGCGAACAGG
rnacentral:rRNA from 1 species